CCUUAAAUGAUGAUGGAGUAGAUGAAAGAGGCAGCAGGGAGAGCGAGAGCCUGUUUGCCUUAUAGAAUAGUGCUUACACUUAUCUUUAGGGAGUUUGGAGUAACUUUAAGAAAGAGAUCUCCAAGAUCUUGAUGCACUCCGAUCGCUACAAUGAGCAGUCACUCCACUGGAUGGGGUAUCGCAAGUUGAAGAGUCGCUUGGUGUAGAGGAUCAGGAUAGGAAGCUGUCAGAGAUGAUGAUGAGAUCUGACCUAGUGAGCCUCAGAUUGAGAGAGAGCCCCAAACUCCACCACCACCACCACCAGUGGCAACUUCACCAGCUACACCUAUG
rnacentral:lncRNA from 1 species